GACGAACGCUGGCGGCGUGCCUAAUACAUGCAAGUUGAGCGCUGAAGGUUGGUACUUGUACCAACUGGAUGAGCAGCGAACGGGUGAGUAACGCGUGGGGAAUCUGCCUCUGAGCGGGGGACAACAUCUGGAAACGAAUGCUAAUACCGCAUAAAAACUUUAAACACAAGUUUUAAGUUUGAAAGAUGCAAUUGCAUCACUCAAAGAUGAUCCCGCGUUGUAUUAGCUAGUUGGUGAGGUAAAGGCUCACCAAGGCGAUGAUACAUAGCCGACCUGAGAGGGUGAUGGGCCACAUUGGGACUGGGACACGGCCCAGACUCCCACGGGAAGCAGCAGUAGGGGAUCUUCGGCAAUGGACGAAAGUCUGACCGAGCAACGCCGCGGGAGUGAAGAAGGUUGUCGGAUCGUAAAACUCUGUUGGUAGAGAAGAACAUUGGUGAGAGUGGAAAGCUCAUCAAGUGACGGUAACUACCCAGAAAGGGACGGCUAACUACGUG
rnacentral:rRNA from 1 species